rnacentral:tRNA from 1 species
GCCGGGGUGGCGAAAUCGGUAGACGCAGGGGAUUCAAAAUCCCCCGCCGCAAGGCGUGUCGGUUCGAGUCCGACCCUCGGCACCA